GAUGAACGCUGGCGGCGUGCCUAAUACAUGCAAGUCGAGCGAACGGACGAGAAGCUUGCUUCUCUGAUGUUAGCGGCGGACGGGUGAGUAACACGUGGAUAACCUACCUAUAAGACUGGGAUAACUUCGGGAAACCGGAGCUAAUACCGGAUAAUAUUUUGAACCGCAUGGUUCAAAAGUGAAAGACGGUCUUGCUGUCACUUAUAGAUGGAUCCGCGCUGCAUUAGCUAGUUGGUAAGGUAACGGCCUACCAAGGCAACGAUGCAUAGCCGACCUGAGAGGGUGAUCAGCCACACUGGAACUGAGACACGGUCCAGACUCCUACGGGAGGCAGCAGUAGGGAAUCUUCCGCAAUGGGCGAAAGCCUGACGGAGCAACGCCGCGUGAGUGAUGAAGGUCUUCGGAUCGUAAAACUCUGUUAUUAGGGAAGAACAUAUGUGUAAGUAACUGUGCACAUCUUGACGGUACCUAAUCAGAAAGCCACGGCUAACUACGUG
rnacentral:rRNA from 1 species